rnacentral:rRNA from 1 species
CGCGUAGGCGGUCUCUUAAGUCAGGUGUGAAAGCCCGGGGCUCAACCUCGGAAGUGCACUUGAAACUAAGGGACUUGAGUAUGGGAGAGGGAAGUGGAAUUCCUGGUGUAGCGGUGAAAUGCGUAGAUAUCAGGAGGAACACCGGUGGCGAAGGCGACUUCCUGGACCAAUACUGACGCUGAGGCGCGAAGGCGUGGGUAGCAAACA